GCACAAGCGGUGGAGCAUGUGGUUCAAUUCGAAGCAACGCGCAGAACCUUACCAGCCCUUGACAUCCCGGUCGCGAGUACCAGAGAUGGAACUCUUCAGUUCGGCUGGACCGGAGACAGGUGCUGCAUGGCUGUCGUCAGCUCGUGUCGUGAGAUGUUGGGUUAAGUCCCGCAACGAGCGCAACCCUCGCCCUUAGUUGCCAUCAUUUAGUUGGGCACUCUAAGGGGACUGCCGGUGAUAAGCCGGAGGAAGGUGGGGAUGACGUCAAGUCCUCAUGGCCCUUACAGGCUGGGCUACACACGUGCUACAAUGGCGGUGACAGAGGGACGCAAAGGAGUAAUCCUUCGCAAAUCUCAAAAAGCCGUCUCAGUUCGGAUUGUGCUCUGCAACUCGAGCACAUGAAGUUGGAAUCGCUAGUAAUCGCAGAUCAGCACGCUGCGGUGAAUACGUUCCCGGGC
rnacentral:rRNA from 1 species